rnacentral:sRNA from 1 species
UUGAAAGAAACUUUCAGGCAGAGGGGGGAGGUGAUUGUAGCUGGUCUCUAUGGACAUGUGCACAUUGUCUCUUUUUCUUGCUUGUUUCUUCAUUUUUCCCACUCGUGCACUAUUUGUAGGCAGCUUGACACUGUCUAUGAUUUUUUACAUACAUGAAUUAGUUAAUGUACAGAAUGGAAUAAAAACAAGUAAAAUACAACUUUCAACAACGGAUCUCUUGGCUCUCGCAUCGAUGAAGAACGCAGCGAAAUGCGAUAAGUAAUGUGAAUUGCAGAAUUCAGUGAAUCAUCGAAUCUUUGAACGCAUCUUGCGCUCCUUGGUAUUCCGAGGAGCAUGCCUGUUUGAGUGUUGUUAAAUUCUCUCAAAACCAUGCUCUUGAGUGUGUUUUGGACUGUGGGAGUGUCUGCUGGCUUCUUAUAUUUGAUCCAGCUCUCCUGAAAGACAUUAGCUUUGGAGAGAUGUGCUAAAUCACUUCUGCCUUUCCCUUGGUGUGAUACUUAUCUACACCAGGAUAGCAGGUUACAGUGAAGGACAUUGAUCUCUCUGCUUUCUAAUUGACAUUUUAAAUGUAUGACAA